rnacentral:rRNA from 1 species
UACGUAGGUGGCAAGCGUUGUCCGGACUUACUGGGCGUAAAGAGCGCGCAGGCGGUCGUUCAAGUCGCGUGUGAAAGCCCCCGGCUCAACUGGGGGGGGUCACGCGAUACUGAUCGACUCGAAGGCAGGAGAGGGUAGUGGAAUUCCCGGUGUAGUGGUGAAAUGCGUAGAUAUCGGGAGGAACACCAGUGGCGAAGGCGACUACCUGGCCUGUUCUUGACGCUGAGGCGCGAAAGCUAGGGGAGCAAACGGG